rnacentral:rRNA from 1 species
GUGAGGAAUAUUGGGCAAUGCCCGCAAGGGUGACCCAGCAACGCCGCGUGGAGGAUGAAUGUCGUAAGAUUGUAAACUCCUGUUAGAGGGGAAGAAUAGUACCGGUUGGACCGGUAUAUGACUGUACCCUCAGAGAAAGCCCCGGCUAACUACGUGCCAGCAGCCGCGGUAAUACGUAGGGGGCAAGCGUUGUCCGGAUUUACUGGGUGUAAAGGGCGCGCAGGCGGAAUGGAAAGUCAGUGGUGAAAUCCUACAGCUUAACUGUAGAACUGCCUUUGAUACUUUCAUUCUUGAGUUCGGGAGAGAGAGACGGAAUUCCAGGUGUAGUGGUUAAAUACGUAGAUAUCUGGAAGAACACCAGUUGCGAAGGCGGUCUCUUGGUCCGAUACUGACGCUGAGGCGCGAAAGCGUGGGGAGCAAACA